GUAUUAUUCUGAGAGAGAUAAUAAAGGUUGGGUUUUACCCGUAAACUGUGUGUGUGUGUUCUUAAGUUUGGUUCAAGCCUGAAAUUGUCUAAGUAAGGCUGUGUUGUGUCAAAAAGUGACGGGCUGAAGUGGCGGCGAGCUACUGCCGUGCAGUGUUGAUUUUGCGAAAAUUAACCCUGUAACGUCCAGUAAUGUGUCUGAUCUUGCCUAUGUAUCUUGCAAACUUCAUAAGUGUCAUAAGUUAC
rnacentral:lncRNA from 1 species